UCUUAAGAAGUGCCCAGGAGCCUGUCUCA
rnacentral:piRNA from 1 species